AAACUGGAGAGUUUGAUCCUGGCUCAGAACUAACGCUGGCGGCGUGCCUAACACAUGCAAGUCGUACGAGAAAGUUGGCUUCGGCCGAUGAGUAAAGUGGCGCACGGGUGAGUAACGCGUGGAUAAUCUACCUUUUAGUUUGGAAUAACGUACCGAAAGGUGCGCUAAUACCGGAUAAUGCUGCACAACUACUGUUGUGUCGUCAAAGAAGGCUUCUGUUUACAUGCUUUUGCUGAAAGAUGAGUCCGCGUACCAUUAGCUAGUUGGUAGGGUAAUGGCCUACCAAGGCUACGAUGGUUAGCUGGUCUGAGAGGAUGAUCAGCCACACUGG
rnacentral:rRNA from 1 species